GGCGAUAUAGCUCAGUGGUGUAGAGCAUUUGACUACAGAUCAAGAAGUCCCUGGUUCAGAUCCAGGUGUCCCCU